CCUGGCAACCCUAGCAAGGGAGGCUUGACCAACUGUCUCCGGUGUGCCUAUUGAAGUGAUAAGUAAUAGUGAAGAGAAGAAAAAGGAGAUUAUUCAAUGUGGCCACCCUGGAAAAAUAAUAAGGGACUCCAGUAACCCCAAGUAAGGGGCUCAGUAAACACAGAGAAGAGGAUGCAGAAAGAGUGCAAUUGCCAGAGGUCUUAGAGGACAUGAAGAAAUCAAAGGCCUUGAAGUCGACAAGAUCAAAUCUCAUAUGAACUCUCAAAGACUGAAGCAGCAGCUCAGGAAUUGCAUGGAGACAGCAAGACCUGGGAGAAUGGAGCCAAUAAAUGAGGCAGACUGAAGUCUCAUUCAAUUCACAUCUUUAUCCAGAGCAUCAGACAAUUUCUGAAGGCACCAAUCUACUUCAGAGAAGAUGGUGGGCAUUGAAAUAGCUCCAUAUAGAGUUUGCUUUCUUUGGAAAAAGUUAGCCACUUGGCAAGAAACUGUUCAUGCCUGAAGUACUUGACAAAAUGUAUCAACUGGACAUGCCUGACCCAGGGAAAAAUGACCACUAAAUGAGCUAUAUGUGUGCCCAAAGAUGGAAUAUUCACAUGAAAUAAACAGACAAGCAGUGAGAAGCACCUGUAGCAGUUCUUAGGGAAGAAAUGAAGUGGUGCAUGAGAGAAAUUACAGAUAGGAGCAACUGGUCAUUUGCUGUCAGUGACCUCACAGCUUUUCCAGCAGCAGAAUCUGGAAGAAGAGAACUUAUAAAGUCACCCGGCAGAGAUGAUGCUUUGCUGUGCAAGCCUGGAUGCCUGUAGUAACAGUUGCAGUAGGAACACCUCACCUGGAAGUCUUCCUGUCAACAUUAGUGUACCCUAGGAACCCAUACUCUCUUGUUCUUCACCAAGUUCUGGAUAGCCAUUCCCUGUUCUAACUCACUUUUCAGCUAAUGGUACAGGAUCACCUCAGAACUGAAGUCCAGAGAUCACCAACAUCCUGUCAGAUAUAAAAGCAGUCAGAGUGCCAAGCCAAGAAAGAUGCAUAGCUCCAGGAUGGACAGCCCAUCAUCCAACAACACCUAUCUACUUCAGAAGACCUCCCCUUCCCUAUUCCACUCAAGAUCCAACCAAUGCCCUCCAAGUCAUCUGGAAGCAGUUUUUCCUGGGAGAAACAACACCCCUAUUUCUAUUUGCUUCCUUUUUUAAAAUAAUAAGCAAAGUCUGGAAUGUAAGGAUUCUAUAUAUGCACAGCUUGGGGUCUUGUCUGGCACCUUAUUAUGCCAUUCCCAGGUGACUACAUCCCUGCCUAAAAGUUGGACGUGCAUCCCCAUGUUCUCUCUCUGCAUCUCUCUCAGUCUCUCUCUUUCUCUGCACCCCUCUAUCUGUGUUUCUUCUCUGCCAGCGCCCCCCUCUCCUAAUAAAGCUCUAAAAGGUACCACUGGGUUCUUUCGUGACUGUGACCUUUCCAUGCAGUAACCAGAGCCAGCCACCAGUGCCAGUACCCUUUCAGUGAGGAACUGGUUUAUUCUCUGGAGUGAAUUAUCUUCAGCAACACUGGCACAUGACAUGGCAUCAGCUUUAGCACUGCAUUGGAGGAAAUCUUAUGCUAUGGGUGUGGUCCAUUUGGAUGGUUGUGUGACAUUAACACAUAUGCCACAUAUGGAGUCAGCUUGCUAAAGCCCUUGACAGUAAGCUGACAAAAUAACUCUUGCUCACCCACAUAUCCUCCUCCAUGUUAUUUUAUCCCUCACUGGGGCCACUUUCUGAUGGAUGUCAGGGUUCUGAGUAAUUCAUGUUGUGUUCUCUAUAUCUCAAACUUAUUUC